AACUUUCAACAACGGAUCUCUUGGUUCUGGCAUCGAUGAAGAACGCAGCGAAAUGCGAUAAGUAAUGUGAAUUGCAGAAUUCAGUGAAUCAUCGAAUCUUUGAACGCACAUUGCGCCCCUUGGUAUUCCGGGGGGCAUGCCUGUUCGAGCGUCAUNU
rnacentral:rRNA from 1 species